GAGAGAGACAUGCGCGCAUAUCAAUAAGCGGAGGAAAAGAAACUAACAAGGAUUCCCUUAGUAACGGCGAGUGAAGCGGGAAGAGCUCAAAUUUGAAAUCUUCAAGGUUUUACCUUGACGAAUUGUAGUUUAAAGAAGUGUUUUCUGCUGAAGUUUUGGUAAAAGUUCUUUGGAAUAGGACAUCAUAGAGGGUGAGAAUCCCGUAUUUGACCAUUAUUUUCAGCUUUGUGAUACACUUUCAAAGAGUCGGAUUGUUUGGGAAUGCAGUCCAAAAUGGGUGUAAAUUUCAUCUAAAGCUAAAUAUUGGCGAGAGACCGAUAGCGAACAAGUACCGUGAGGGAAAGAUGAAAAGAACUUUGAAAAGAGAGUUAAACAGUACGUGAAAUUGUCAAAAGGGAAGCGUUUGACACCAGUGUUGUUUUCUCGAAAAUCAAUUAAAAAUGGCUCGAUUUUGUAUUGCUGAGACCUUAAAAGCUCACUGUACAUUUUUCGUGUCUUUUUUAAUGCACUUUUCGUUUAACAAGUCAACAUCAGUUUCUUUUGUUGUAAAAGGGUCAUUGGAAGGUGGCUUUCUUUACGGAGAAAGUGUUUAUAGCCUUUGGCCUCUGCAAUCGGAGAGACUGAGGUCUGCAGCGUAGACUCCUCGGGGUUAGAUACAUUUGUGCUAAGUUAUAGCUUUUUAUAGACAACUUGUUGACUAUAAUUAGUCUUGUAGCUUACUCGCUUAUGCUAUUUUACCUACGCUUAGGAUGUUGAAGAUGUAGCACAUCAU
rnacentral:rRNA from 1 species